CCCUUAGAUGUUCUGGGCUGCACACGUGCUACACUGGCAGGUUCAGCGAGCUUCAUGCCCUGAUCUGAAAGGAAUGGGAAAUCUUUUCAAAACCUGCCGUGCUUGGGAUAGAUGUUUGCAAUUAUUCAUCUUCAACGAGGAAUGCCUAGUAAACGCAAGUCAUCAGCUUGCAUUGAUUACGUCCCUGCCCUUUGUACACACCGCCCGUCGCUCCUACCGAUUGAAUGAUCCGAUGAAUAUCAUGGAUUGAGGAUGCAAGCAGGUUCGCCUGUCUUCAUCUUCGAGAAGUGAAGUAAAUCUUAUCAUUUAGAGGAAGGAGAAGUCGUAACA
rnacentral:rRNA from 1 species